GUCAGUUACAUGGACUAAGAGGCUGGCUUACACAAGGGAUGUAUAAAGACGCAUGGGUGCAGAUUUGAGCAAAACUUGCACUGACAUGAUUCUUGGAAUGGGAGCCUUGCACUAACAUGGAAGACUCAGACAGACAUGAUUCUUCAUGCAAAUGUAUUAAAGGAAUUUCUUAAUGAUGUGCUGUAUACAGCUGUGAGGACAUAAGCAGGAGACUUAAUUGUCCUGCUCUAUUUAAAACAUAAAUGAAACCUGGUCAUAAAGUUGGCAACAGAUGCAUUUAUAUAGUGAUGUCAGCUGUGUUGGAUGAAUUGCAAAUCCCAAGAUAGUUUUGCACAACAGACUUGCAUUGCGCUCAAGAAUGGCUAUUCCUUGCAUGAUUGGCUGCCAUGCUCCUAUGUCCUGUGCUUUUUGAGGAACCAUGCGUCUGAACUGUGUUGUAAUCUUCCAGGCAUCCACACGUAUUUCCAGCAAAUUGUUCAAAAGAGCCAGCAAGGGUGCCAAUGGGAAUGAUGCCACAAAUAAGGUGACAAAUCCAAACUGUAUCACUGUCAAGAAGAAAUAUGCGUUGUGUCAUUUCAGAGGUUAGAUCAGCCAACCCAGAUCUGUGGCUAACAAAGAGCUGCUCUAAACCAUCUGAAAGCACUAUAUCCUUAAUCAACAUGGUUUGUUGUAACCCCCAAAUUUAGAAUAAUUAUCUAGAACUCAUUGAGCCCAUUCUCAGAACUGAGUGAGAGGGCUACUUGGUGGGAGGCGGGGAAGGCUGCGUAGCCUUACCUUCCCUGCAGACAAUCCUUGGUCCAUGCUGGGCACGCAGACUGCAGCACGGAGGCAGCGUGGAAGUUUGGGGGCCAGGAUACAUUGUUCCAGCCCCUGGACUCCCAUAAUGCACUGCAUGAGUGCAUGGUGCAUUGUGGAGAUCCUCUGGCGCUGGCUGGAAGCCUGCUCCCGUGUCAGCGCCGUGCAGCACCAACACAUGAGCAUUUAGCCUGGGUUAAAGGCACCCUCACAUCUUUAACCUAGACUAAGUGGUGGGUUCCCUAAGUGGGUUUGCCACUUGCUUCCUGGCAGUACACAUGCACAGCCAAGAGCAGGCUUGGCUGCCUUAGUCCACUUUUGGCUGUACGUGUGAAUGGCCUCUUAUGUAAUAAUUAUGCCACCAUCAAACAAGAUAAUAAUGAAAAAGAACAUAUUUUGCUCAUGAGGGCAGAUUGUUUUGUCAUACCUCAAGUGAUUUUUUUUGUUAUAUCUGUAUCUCUUGUGCAAAGAGAGCAACAAUAAAUAGCUUAGAAUUCAUAAUGUAGAUAUUCCAAGCAGGAUCUAAAAGCAUCAGAUGUGCAGGCUUUUAUACACACACACACACACCCCUAGUAUGGAAUUUCUCCCCUACCACACUAUGGGCAGGUUUUUGGCUUUAAAGUAAAAAUACAGGUACCAAGCUUAUUUGUUCAGCUAAAGAUUAAUUCUGCACCUUUAAAAAAAGCUAAUCAGUUAAGACAAAAACCCUAACCCUUGAAACUACUCUGGGUGGAGCUGGAUGGGAUUGGCUUUGGGACUUUCAUGACCAAUCAGCUUCUGAACAGUCAGUUUGGGAAGGACAGGGCCAGCAAAACCAGCAUCUGUUGGAAACAAAGGAGACAGUGGGCCCUGAAGUCAAUUUCUUAGGGAAGCUGCAUGUUUGAGUGAAGAUCAGCAGUGAGCUCAUUACUUAAUAUACGUCAUCUGUACUCGUUUUUUUUUUCAGAUUAAAAGACUGUGACCAACAUGCAUCAAAUGCUUCACAAGAACUCCCAGGGCUUAGAUUUUUUUUUUUUUUUAAGAUUGGCAAAGAAUCCAUCCAAUCUAGCAAAAUCAACCAUGUUUCCUUUUGCAAGUAUGUACAGUUUUAACCCAUUCAGGCUUAAUUACUUAAUAGAGUUUUAAAAGUCUUUUCAUAUUCAGAUUUCGCCCCAUUAAAAGAGCUAGCAAAUAACUGGCCUACCCAUUUCAAGAUAUUCGUAAAACAAUCCCAGCUUGCCAAAUGGUUGCAGAUGGUAGUCCUGUUCCCAGCGUGGGAUAAUCUUUUCUGACCGAGCAGCUGAGCAACAUCUUCCAAUCAGAUUCUUAAGCCACCUACAAGGUUGGAUCAACAGCAAGAUUUAUUCGGUCUGCUAGAAAAAUGCUAUUAGAAAUAUUUUGUUCUUUUCAAUUAAAAGCCUGU